rnacentral:lncRNA from 1 species
UGGCUCAGGGGAGUGACGAAUAGGAGAAACACGCCGGUCUGCAUCUGCACCAGGAGGGAUCCUUUGUACAACAGUCAUCCAGGCAACAUCUUGAGGCCAAGAACCACGAUUGGUUCUUGACCUUCUAUGACUAAGAUCAGAAGAAGGAUUCUGGAAUGGAACUUCCUUCCAUUUUGCUCGGCAAACGGGGCAAAUCUGAUUUCCAUGUUUUACAUUGGAGGUGAUGCAGUGGAAGUGGAAGGAGUGUGAGCAUUCUGCGGUAAAAAUGGCAUGGCCUUGGCCUGGUUUCAUGGUGGUUAAGCAUAUUGAACAAGUCCUCUGCAACCACAAAGAAAUACAAGUCAAAAGCAGAUCACACAUGAACUGCAUUCAAGCCAACUGUUAUGGCUGAAAGAUUGAUCAACUUUGAAAUGCAUCAGCUGAUACAGUUUGCUCAAGUAUCAAUUCAAAUAUAUUUAUUUUGUCUUGUUUAAUUAUUUGGUGAUAAGCAAAUCAAAUAAACAAUGUGAAUAUAAAGAAAACAUUUAUACGAUCCCACAUAAACUGCAUCAAGACCAACUUUAUGGCUGAUAGAUUAAGCACAAACAACUAAACAAAUUGUCAAUGAUCCAACCUAUGAUUGACAGUUUAUGAACCCCCUAUGCAAUGCACACAACAUAAUAAUCAGCUCAUAUUUUUGCUGACAUUAAUAUAUUUUAAUUUUUUAAUUUUUGGGUUUUGGCAAUAAAUAAAUAAAAUAAGCAGUGCGACUAUGAAAGAGAACAUUGAUACGAUAUUAUGUUUUUCUGCAAAAAUUACCUCUAUUUUGGUAGGCUUAAGUUGAUCAUCACAAAUUUAAACAAACAAGUAGCAAUAUGACAUCUAUUUAUUUGUUUAUUUAAUUAUUACAAUAUGAAAUGAGCAUAGUGUAGACCUCAAAAUAAUUCGCAGUUAACCAUCAUUGAACGCAGAUGUCUUGAUGCUUAAAANNNNNNNNNNNNNNNNNNNNNNNNNNNNNNNNNNNNNNNNNNNNNNNNNNNNNNNNNNNNNNNNNNNNNNNNNNNNNNNNNNNNNNNNNNNNNNNNNNNNAGCACCAACACCAACAACAAAUUCUAGGGGAGGAGAAUGACCGCCAGUUAGAUGUUACAAAUGCGGGAAAGAGGGACAUAUUUGUCCACAACAAUCCAAGGUAUGUUACAACUGUGGAAAGGAAGGCCACAUAGCUCGGGAUUGUUCUGUAGCAAAAUCAAGUUCAACGGGGAUGGUGACUCCAAGGGCUGUCCCGGAUAAGUCGAAAUCAGCGGUUCCUGAAAGAGCGUUUGUCGUGACUGACCAAAACGCGAGGAACCCCCCAUUAAUAUGAUUAUAUGAUAAUCCCCAAGCUAAUGUUUCAAACAAAGGUAUUGAUGGGGCAAUUUUUUUAGGGGGUUGAUGUAACCCAUGUCGCUAAUAUGACCAAGUAGGUGGUGUUUGACUGCAUCUUAACAAUUUACUUCUUAAUACAUCUUAACAAUCCACAAUUUUAUAUUAAGAGGUCCUCUUAAUAGUUAAGAUACAAAUAUGAGUCUAAACUAUUCAGAUAACCAUCUUAAUACAAAAAUAUGAGUUAAAAUACAUUAAGAGGUGAAUUAUUAAGAUGUAUUAAAAUACAAUCAAACACAAUUGAAACAUGAAUUGAGCCUUUUAGGUGUUUUGAUUGCAUCUUAACAGUUUCUUAAUGCCUCUUAAGAGACCAUAUUUUUGUAUUAAGAGAUUUUUUGAAUAGUUAAGAUAUAAAUACAAAUCUAAACUAUUCAGAAGACUUUUUAAUAUAAAAAUGUGGACGGUAAAAAUACAUUGAAAGGUGGGAUCAUUCAAUCACCACCUUACUUUGGAUUUGAUUUGAACCUGGCCCAAGUGAUUACAGAUGGUGAAACUCUUUUUGUGGAUAAAAGGGAAAACGAGCUAAAAAGAAUAUUCUACUCCAUUGGUAAAAGAAUAUUACUGCUUUCUUUAAUGCUUCCACUAUUAGUACAAAUACAAUGAAUCACUUGCCAAUCUCAGUAGUCUCUCAAAUAGGUACGUAGUAUAUAUGGUUUCGCAAUAGAGAGAGAGAAGUUUCACGAAGGGAGAAGCAAAAAAAUUCAACCCGGGACUAAUGGCUACUGGUGGUGGGAGUUUUGUCACAUAUAUUCAUUCUAUUGAAAUGAGUUUUAUUCCGCAUUCUUCACAUGAAAUAAAAAAACAAAAAAAUAGAAUGAAUUUUAAUUCUAUUUUUAUUUCAUUCAUUUCUUUAUUCCACUCUCAAUCCAAACGUACCAUAAAAAGAUUACUGUUGACACACGCACACUUCUAGACCAGUGCCUUGCAGACUCUUAGUUGGAUGAAAUAGCUAAUUGCGUCACUUUUUUUCCAAACACUCGAGGUUAAAUGAAACUUUUCUAACCACAGACAGAUAGUUAUGCCAAGAUCAUUUAAAAUAGAAAACUAUAUGAUACUGCAUUUUACUUCAUGAUCUUAAAAUUGUAGCAUAAACCAUAGAAAGUGGAAUGAGACUGAGGCUGCAACAUGCAUAAUUAGAGACUUAACGUGUUUGAGUGAAGAAUUUCUCCAGUAUCCCCCACAAUUACAAGGCUUUACCCCAAUUUUCACCAAAAGAGAAAACCCCCAUUUCUCUCCUUAUAUACAAAACCACAUGUUAAAAUUGUAAACCUAAACCAAUUUGUCCUUUAUCACAAUCCUCGUAAAUUUUUCUCAUAGCCCCCCUAAUCUUAUUCAUGUACACAAAGGAAAUAUACCCAUUGUCGUGAAACACAAAACCUUCUACCAGGUCUUUGAUACGUCCCCGACUUUCCCAAAACCAAUUAAACAGAACAAAAAAUAUAAAGGGACAAUGAUCAAAACUCAAGAAGAAUUUUCAAAGACAACCAUGUUGGUUACCUCGGUUGCGGUUGUGAUGAAAAUGAUCGAGCAGGCCUGGCUGAUGAUUGAGGUGAUGGAUUACCAAAGAACAUUGUCUGGGAUUGGUUAACCAUGUCAACCAUGGAUGGGGUCUGGUAAGCCUGCAUAAGGCUUGUGCUAUCCAUAGAAUCACCUCGUGCAGUUGCCCUCUGCCAUGAGUGUGAGCUCAAACCCGAUAGAACAUAAGCCCUUCCGGAUGACUCGUAUACACGGCGGUUUGCCAUCCUCUCUUGCAUUUCCCUCAUUUCAGCACCCAAGGCAACACAUAACCUGUCGCCAGCUUGUGCUGACACGGUUUCAGACAACUGUUUACGGCAAUGCUCAAGGACGGAUACUGCAGCAGUUAAAUCACCACGUUCAGCAGCAGCUCGUGCUUCUGCCAUUGCUUCUGCUGCACAGAGCCUAUUUCGCUGCCUGUCCACUUCCAUUGACACUGACAAUUGUCUAGUAGUUUCAGGCCUUUGAAUUACCACAUUCCUGGCUUCUUCCAAGGUCAUUGUUUCUUUUGUUAUAGGGUCUUUGUACUGACAAUUAACUUUUAUCAAUGACAUGUCAUUACUGUAUUUAUCAACUGGAAUGUCCAUUAUUACCAGAAAAUCUCUCUCUUCUUCAGCAUACAGAUCCCCAACUUCGAUAAAUCCUGUUCUUGCAUCAGUCAUCACACUGGUUUUAUAAUUUCCUGCUUUUAUUGAACUAAGACGCAACCUUGGAUGUACGCAGUCAACCACCACCCGUAGUUCCUGUACCACAACACUCAGAAGCCCUCCAAUGCAUUGUGCAAAAGCAUCCUGAAUCACACUCUCUGCCUCUAUAAAAGAAAAUGUCCCCCCAGAAGCUUCAGAAAUGGAAUGCAUUGCAACAGCAUCAUGAUCUGCCCCAAAACCAAAUGCGUGAACUGGAAUGUGGUGGCCAGCACCACUAUCGCGAUGCAUGGAGAAUGGGAGGAGUGACUGAUAAUCAGUUCGAGAACUAGUCCCACGAGGACUGGUCACUGUAUACGUGUCCUGCCCGUCAGACAACAGUAUAAUACUGCUCACUGGGCUCUUCCACUUGCGGUCUGUCAUCACCUUGGCACCCUUUCGGAGGCCCUCAGCAAUGUUUGUCCCACCAUUUGAGAUCAGAUUAUUAACAGCCUGUAGUGCUUCCUGCCUUCCUGUGUCAGUCAUCCUACGAAGGGGAAAAAGUCUCCGAGCUGUGGAGGAGAAGGCAAUGACUGAAAGCCUGUCAGAAGAGCCUAGGUUCUGAAUCACAAACCCCAUGGCUUGUUUUAGCAAAGCAAGCUUUGUGCCUGCCAUGCUGCCACUUAUAUCAAGCACGGUUACGAGAUCUACUGGAGCACGAGAGUUCUGAGAAAUUAAAGGCAGAUUAGCAUGGUCUUCGCCAGAAUGCUGUUUUCCACUAGUAAGGGGAGCUUUGAGAUGUAUUAGUAUGUUGAAACUAUUAUGGGAUGCUAAUCUUGAAAUGGAAGAAACCUCGGGGUAUGUUUUAACCUCAAUUGCCCCAAUAGAAUGGACAUCAGUACAAAUAUUGUCUGAUGAAUUUUUUUCAGUAACCUCAGGUUGGCAAUCCACAAGUUCGUCAUCAUCGAAGACACCUGGCUCAGGGGAGUGACGAAUAGGAGAAACACGCCGGUCUGCAUCUGCACCAGGAGGGAUCCUUUGUACAACAGUCAUCCAGGCAACAUCUUGAGGCCAAGAACCACGAUUGGUUCUUGACCUUCUAUGACUAAGAUCAGAAGAAGGAUUCUGGAAUGGAACUUCCUUCCAUUUUGCUCGGCAAACGGGGCAAAUCUGAUUUCCAUGUUUUACAUUGGAGGUGAUGCAGUGGAAGUGGAAGGAGUGUGAGCAUUCUGCGGUAAAAAUGGCAUGGCCUUGGCCUGGUUUCAUGGUGGUUAAGCAUAUUGAACAAG